rnacentral:lncRNA from 1 species
UUCAAAAAUAUGAUUCAUUCAUUAUGGAUAAUGCAUUUCUAGUCCAUGUGUUCAUAUUCCAAAACUUUGGUUCAAACUUGAUUUUGGAAGAAAGAACUACAAUUUGAAAAUGAGAUUUUGUUUCAUCCAAAUAACCAUUUUCAUUUACAAUUGUCCAUUUCAUUCCAUACAAGACCAUUUACAAAGUUUCACACAAAAAAUUAUAAAAAAAUUGGCACUUUGACUAAAGGGUGACUUUGGUCAAUAGUUGGCUUUUUGGUAAACUUUGACCGAAGCCAACCAUCUAUUUUUCUAAGUCUAAAUCCUGAAUUUCAUUGAUCUUGAGUCUUCAUGUUGCAUCAUCUCAUUAAAUCUUCCAUCUAAGCUUACUUCUAUUACAAGAAAGUCUUAGUUUGCAUUUGGCCAUGGAAUGUUCAUGAUGCUCAUGUUUUGAGGUCUUGAUUCAAUGCAAAGUCAGCCCUGCAAUGCAUUAAUAUAAAUAAGCAAACCAAAAACCAUUACAAUUACUAAUUUGUUAGCUUACUUUCAUAUUAGCAAGUGUUUAACAUGUGGGCAUUCAAGGCACACUAGCUAAUUCAAUCCAAACAAUACAAUCAAGGUUCACAAAGCUAAUCAUGGUGAAAGGGACUAGGUCAGUAACCUUGUGCUUCCAAUAUCAUGACAAUCCAAAUCAUCUCAAGACAUCACCAUGUUAACAUAAUAGCAAUUAACCUAUUGUGAUGAGCCAACCCCCAUGAGCAAUUAACAUUUUAAUAGUCCUAAGCAUAAUGCAGACCACAAAUGAACAUUGGCAAUUAAAGCUCACAUAUCUAACAAAUAUGAAAACUCACCAAGUACCUAAAACAACAACUUCUAACAGGGUUUAACUUUGGAAUAACAACAUAACUGAAUUUUGAUUGAAUUCAAACUAACAAUUAACUAUAAAAUAAAUUCAUAACCAACUUCUCAUUGAACUAACAUAAGAAAAUUCGAAUUAACUUCAAAAUAACCCUGCAUUCUUUUGCUAACAGAAGGAAGUGUGAUCACUUAUUAACCGAAACACCAAUUCUUGCAUAUCACUAAGUGAAGUCUUAACUAACAGCUAACACAUCAUAACUGACUAACAAAUUAUUUAACAGAAAAUCUAACUUCUAACUAAUCUAACUAAUCUAACUUCUAACUUCUAACUAAUCUCUGUUAAAUCGAAAUUCUAUAAAAUCAGGUUUCAAUAAACAAACGCAGGAGCAGCAAAACAUGAUAGCACAUACAGAAGCAGCAAAAAUGCAAAAACACAUCACGAAAUCAACAACUUUUUUCUAUCCUAUAAUCUACAGAAGCAAGAAGAAGAAUGAGGCAUUGAAGAAGAAGAACUGAAACGAGGGAGAAGAGGGGAGAAGCUUACUAGAAAAGUCAUCGCUGUAGUUGGAGCAAAAGAGCCACCGUGUCGGAAAUUCUCAUCCGUACUUACAAUUCGUGCUCAUUUAUUUGCAUUUUCCUGAGCAUCCACGAUCUUCUGUCAAUUUCAUACUGCAAAUUCGAAUCAAGCUUGAACCACCGAAUCUGAGUCAAGGAGAAUCGCUGCAAUUUCGUGGUGGUUGUGAAGUUCGUUUGAAGUUCUGAAGUCGCGUUUGCAAGAGGUGGUUAUUGAAUUCAAAUUCAGUUGGAUACGGACUCGGUAAUUGUUGAAUUUAGGUUCAAUUUUUCUGGUUUAAUGGAGUUUUAAUUUGGAGCGUGAAGAAGAACCAUGCUUCAGGUUCGUCUGGUGAGAAUCCUUUUUUCGCGUGACCUUAGCUUUUUUGGACGUUGCUUGCUUCGGGUUUGGUUUUUAGAUUAAUU